rnacentral:rRNA from 1 species
CACGUAGUUAGCCGUGACUUUCUGGUUAGGUACCGUCAAAGUCAAGGCAGUUACUCCUUGACUUGUUCUUCUCUAAUAACAGAACUUUCCGAUCCGAAGACCUUCUUCAUUCACGCGGCAUUGCUCCAUCAGGCUUUCGCCCAUUGUGGAAGAUUCCCUACUGCUGCCUCCCGUAGGAGUCUGGGCCGUGUCUCAGUCCCAGUGUGGCCGAUCACCCUCUCAGGUCGGCUACGUAUCACAGCUUUGGUGAGCCAUUACCUCACCAACUAGCUAAUACGGCGCGGGGCCAUCCAUGAGUGACAGCAAAAGCCGUCUUUCGUCUCUGGACCAGGCGGUCCAAAGCAUUAUGCGGUAUUAGCAUCCGUUUCCGAAUGUUACUCCCCCUCUCAUGGGCAGGUUCCCAGUGUUACUCACCGUUCGCUACUCUUCAAUUCUCUGCAAGCAGAGAAUAUCAUCGUUCAACUUGCAUUGUAUUAGGCAUCGCCGUCGA